rnacentral:rRNA from 1 species
UUUAUAUAUAAAGAAUUUAUGGCAAAAUAUAGUUAUAUAUACAACCUCAACUCAUAUGGGACUACCCCCUGAAUUUAAGCAUAUUAAUUAGGGGAGGAAAAGAAACUAACAAGGAUUUUCUUAGUAGCGGCGAGCGAAAAGAAAACAGUUCAGCACUAAGUCACUUUGUCUAUAUGGCAAAUGUGAGAUGCAGUGUAUGGAGCGUCAAUAUUCUAGUAUGAGAAAUUAAUGAUUUAAGUCCUUCUUAAAUGAGGCCAUUUACCCAUAGAGGGUGCCAGGCCCGUAUAACGUUAAUGAUUGCUAGAUGAUGUUUCCAAAGAGUCGUGUUGCUUGAUAGUGCAGCACUAAGUGGGUGGUAAACUCCAUCUAAAACUAAAUAUAACCAUGAGACCGAUAGUAAACAAGUACCGUGAGGGAAAGUUGAAAAGAACUCUGAAUAGAGAGUUAAACAGUACGUGAAACUGCUUAGAGGUUAAGCCCGAUGAACCUGAAUAUCCGUUAUGGAAAAUUCAUCAUUAAAAUUGUAAUAUUUAAAUAAUAUUAUUAAGAAUAAUGUGCAUUUUUUCCAUAUAAGGACAUUGUAAUCUAUUAGCAUAUCCCAAAUUUAUCAUAAAAUAUAACUUAUAGUUUAUUCCAAUUAAAUUGCUUGCAUUUUAACACAGAAUAAAUGUUAUUAAUUUGAUAAAGUGCUGAUAGAUUUAUAUUAUUACAGAGCGUUAAUUUUUCGGAAUUAUAUAAUGGCAUAAUUAUCAUUGAUUUUUGUGUUUAUUAUAUGCUCUUGUAUGAUUAACAAUGCGAAAGAUUCAGGAUACCUUCGGGACCCGUCUUGAAACACGGACCAAGGAGUCUAACAUAUGUGCAAGUUAUUGGGAUGUAAUAGCGUAAUUAACUUGACUAAUAAUGGGAUUAGUUUUUUAGCUAUUUAUAGCUAAUUAACACAAUCCCGGGGCGUUCUAUAUAGUUAUGUAUAAUGUAUAUUUAUAUUAUUUAUGCCUCUAACUGGAACGUACCUUGAGCAUAUAUGCUGUGACCCGAAAGAUGGUGAACUAUACUUGAUCAGGUUGAAGUCAGGGGAAACCCUGAUGGAAGACCGAAACAGUUCUGACGUGCAAAUCGAUUGUCAGAAUUGAGUAUAGGGGCGAAAGACCAAUCGAACCAUCUAGUAGCUGGUUCCUUCCGAAGUUUCCCUCAGGAUAGCUGGUGCAUUUUAAUAUUAUAUAAAAUAAUCUUAUCUGGUAAAGCGAAUGAUUAGAGGCCUUAGGGUCGAAACGAUCUUAACCUAUUCUCAAACUUUAAAUGGGUAAGAACCUUAACUUUCUUGAUAUGAAGUUCAAGGUUAUGAUAUAAUGUGCCCAGUGGGCCACUUUUGGUAAGCAGAACUGGCGCUGUGGGAUGAACCAAACGUAAUGUUACGGUGCCCAAAUUAACAACUCAUGCAGAUACCAUGAAAGGCGUUGGUUGCUUAAAACAGCAGGACGGUGAUCAUGGAAGUCGAAAUCCGCUAAGGAGUGUGUAACAACUCACCUGCCGAAGCAACUAGCCCUUAAAAUGGAUGGCGCUUAAGUUGUAUACCUAUACAUUACCGCUAAAGUAGAUGAUUUAUAUUACUUGUGAUAUAAAUUUUGAAACUUUAGUGAGUAGGAAGGUACAAUGGUAUGCGUAGAAGUGUUUGGCGUAAGCCUGCAUGGAGCUGCCAUUGGUACAGAUCUUGGUGGUAGUAGCAAAUAAUCGAAUGAGACCUUGGAGGACUGAAGUGGAGAAGGGUUUCGUGUGAACAGUGGUUGAUCACGAGUUAGUCGGUCCUAAGUUCAAGGCGAAAGCCGAAAAUUUUCAAGUAAAACAAAAAUGCCUAACUAUAUAAACAAAGCGAAUAUAAUACACUUGAAUAAUUUUGAACGAAAGGGAAUACGGUUCCAAUUCCGUAACCUGUUGAGUAUCCGUUUGUUAUUAAAUAUGGGCCUCGUGCUCAUCCUGGCAACAGGAACGACCAUAAAGAAGCCGUCGAGAGAUAUCGGAAGAGUUUUCUUUUCUGUUUUAUAGCCGUACUACCAUGGAAGUCUUUCGCAGAGAGAUAUGGUAGAUGGGCUAGAAGAGCAUGACAUAUACUGUUGUGUCGAUAUUUUCUCCUCGGACCUUGAAAAUUUAUGGUGGGGACACGCAAACUUCUCAACAGGCCGUACCAAUAUCCCGCAGCUGGUCUCCAAGGUGAAGAGUCUCUAGUCGAUAGAAUAAUGUAGGUAAGGGAAGUCGGCAAAUUAGAUCCGUAACUUCGGGAUAAGGAUUGGCUCUGAAGAUUGAGAUAGUCGGGCUUGAUUGGGAAACAAUAACAUGGUUUAUGUGCUCGUUCUGGGUAAAUAGAGUUUCUAGCAUUUAUGUUAGUUACUUGUUCCCCGGAUAGUUUAGUUACGUAGCCAAUUGUGGAACUUUCUUGCUAAAAUUUUUAAGAAUACUAUUUGGGUUAAACCAAUUAGUUCUUAUCAAUUAUAACGAUUAUCAAUUAACAAUCAAUUCAGAACUGGCACGGACUUGGGGAAUCCGACUGUCUAAUUAAAACAAAGCAUUGUGAUGGCCCUAGCGGGUGUUGACACAAUGUGAUUUCUGCCCAGUGCUCUGAAUGUCAAAGUGAAGAAAUUCAAGUAAGCGCGGGUCAACGGCGGGAGUAACUAUGACUCUCUUAAGGUAGCCAAAUGCCUCGUCAUCUAAUUAGUGACGCGCAUGAAUGGAUUAACGAGAUUCCUACUGUCCCUAUCUACUAUCUAGCGAAACCACAGCCAAGGGAACGGGCUUGGAAUAAUUAGCGGGGAAAGAAGACCCUUUUGAGCUUGACUCUAAUCUGGCAGUGUAAGGAGACAUAAGAGGUGUAGAAUAAGUGGGAGAUAUUAGACCUCGGUUUGGUAUCGUCAAUGAAAUACCACUACUCUUAUUGUUUCCUUACUUACUUGAUUAAAUGGAACGUGUAUCAUUUCCUAGCCA